UACGUAGGGCGCAAGCGUUAUCCGGAAUUAUUGGGCGUAAAGAGCUCGUAGGCGGUUUGUCGCGUCUGCCGUGAAAGUCCGGGGCUCAACUCCGGAUCUGCGGUGGGUACGGGCAGACUAGAGUGAUGUAGGGGAGACUGGAAUUCCUGGUGUAGCGGUGAAAUGCGCAGAUAUCAGGAGGAACACCGAUGGCGAAGGCAGGUCUCUGGGCCAUAACUGACGCUGAGAAGCGAAAGCAUGGGGAGCGAACAGG
rnacentral:rRNA from 1 species